rnacentral:rRNA from 2 species
ACUCCUACGGGAGGCAGCAGUGGGGAAUAUUGCGCAAUGGGCGAAAGCCUGACGCAGCGACGCCGCGUGAGGGACGAAGGCCUUCGGGUUGUAAACCUCUUUCAGCAGGGAAGAAGCGAAAGUGACGGUACCUGCAGAAGAAGCACCGGCUAACUACGUGCCAGCAGCCGCGGUAAU